UGGAUAAUUGAUCCUACUCAUUUGUCUUGGUGAACAAGGGUUGGUUUCAUGAGAAUGAAAGAAGGGUUUCCAAAGCAUUUUUUCUACCUAUCACUCAAAAACAGGAACCUGAUCAUUAUGCAAAAUCUAUCUAAGAAAGGAAGCAACUGAUGCAUACAUAGAUUGGUUCUCAUCCUUCUACCCUUUUCUAGGUGACAUUAAACUCCACAAAACCCCUUUUUCACCCGAUAAACAUUCUUGCUCUCUCUUUUUCUUUUUCUUUUUCUUUUAACCACUAGGGACUCAAUAUCUUUCUCAACACUUAGCUCUAACUUUUCCUUAUUCACUCUUUUUUUUUUAUAAUUUUUUUUUUUAACAACACUUUUCUUAUCUAGAGCUUUCUCUCAUUAACCUCUCUUGUCCCUAAGGUCUUUCUAUCUUCUGACUUCUCUUUAGACAUUUUUAUCCUUUUUUUUUUCACUUCCCAAACCCAAGAUAAAAGAACUUAGAGUACACAAACUCACCCACCAUCCUAGAUGCUAGCUCAAAUGAGGUUCCUAUUGCUAGCCAAAGAUGAGA
rnacentral:lncRNA from 1 species